GGCCCGUUGGUCAAGCGGUUAAGACACCGCCCUUUCACGGCGGUAACACGGGUUCGAACCCCGUACGGGUCA
rnacentral:tRNA from 2 species